rnacentral:lncRNA from 1 species
GCUGCCUCCUGCCUUGCUGAGAUGCACUCGGAGCUUAUCAAGUUUGUAUCCAAGAGAAAAAAAAGCACCUGCCUUUACCAAGACUUUUAUAGAAAUGUUCACAACAGAUUUAUGUGUAGUAGAUGACAACCAGGAAUAACGUAAAUGUAUCUCAACAGGGCAAACCCUUCACCCUCGUUGGCCAGAGGUGAUGAGUCAGCCGAGUAUUUGAUCACACAUCUGACAGAGCUCAUCCGGGAAUUCUGAGGCAGCCCACCUGAAAGGAGCGGUCACCAUGGGUGAGCAGCCCCCAAAAACACCUCAGCCCAUCAGGCGGGAGCAGGUUACUGUCCGGGCAACUCCAGACC